rnacentral:lncRNA from 1 species
ACGUGGAUGGACAGAGCUGCGUCUUAAUUUUUUUUUUUUUGCAAAUUAGGGAGAAAAAUCAAGACGUAACACCCCACUCCUCCCGUUUUAAACACUGAUUCAGCUCGAAGCUAGGCUGAAGGCUUCAUUGUCAGUCGGCCAGUUGGACAACGUGAAUUUUCUUGGUUACUCCUGUACACUGGGACGGACGCUCCACACGAUCCCUUUCCAGCUUGUUGAGGAAGGAAGAAGUGGCCUUCCAUUACAGACGGACGGCCUGACACCGUGCUUCCUGCUUAUGGAUCCUAAGGUAUUAAAUAUAAAUUACACAAGACGAAAGGAUUUGUAUGUGUCUGUAUAGCAAUAAUAUAAGAAUUCAUAUUGCAGAAGAUCAAGAUGUAUUUGGCUAGAAGAUCGUAUGGGACCACUUGGAUUCAGAUGUAUAAUUAAAGAAUCAUUUUAGGUGUAUCGAGAACUGUCUCUAGUGAUGUAAGUUACUGGCUUUGUUUCUUUCUCCUUAGUGGAGUAGGUGAAUCAGAUCAGUGGUCCCCAAACUUGAGUACACGUUAGGAUCACCGAGGGCUUGUUAAACCCACAUUGCUGGACCCCCACCCCAGAAUUUCUGACUCAGUGGGUCUAGGGUGGGCCUGAUGAUCUGCAUUUUUUGCAAGUUUCCAGGAGAUGCGGAAGCUGGUCAGAGGACCGUAUUUUGAGAACCACUGGAUGAGAUAAUUUCUUCUAAAGUUUUAUAAAGUUUUUGUGCCCGUUUUCCCCCAUUUGCAGUGACAGCACCUACUCUUGGAUUUCUACCGCUUGGUGUCAUUUAAAGAUUGCUGUAUGGCAAACUGAGUGGCAAAAGUUUGAAAUGAAUUGAGUUAAUGUAUUUUGAGAGUUUCUUGAGAAUUACAGAUACUUUGCAAAACCUUGGGUCUGUUAAAACCCAGAAUUGGGUAUACCUACCCAACAGUCAAGGUCUCUAGUUACAAUUUAUUGAAAUAUUCCUCAUGUUAUUAAGGGACAGAACUAUUCACUGUUUCUUAAACCCGAAUGUUCUAUCAGAUCUAACCAAGUGCCUUGUUAAUAGGCAGCUCCAGGAUAUGAUAUAGUGUAUUACAUAGUUGGGAGCUCAUUAAAUAAAAUGGUGUUUAUGAGACGUAGUUCCUUUCCU